ensembl:lncRNA
UUUUGUUUUCCUGGCAAUGUUGUAGAACGCAAAAUAUGUGGCAAACACAGGUUUCUUUCCCCCUUUAUCAAAUGUUAUACUCUUUGUAAUCAAUCAUUCCUUAGAAUAUUUCUUGAAUAUUUUCAUGAAUACUUCCGUGGAUAUUUCCGUGAAUAUUUUUUUCAUUAUUUAUUUGAAUAUUUUUUUAAAUGUUUUUUUUUUCACCAUCCAUCAUCCCACUGGUUCCCUAUGAAGAUCACUCCUUUUGUUUUCAUGGCAAUGUUGUAGAACACAAGAUAUGUGGCAAACACAGGUUUCCUUCCCUCCUUAUCAAAUGUAAUACUCUUUGUAAUCAAUCAUUCCUUUGAAU